UUAUCUGUUCAUGUCUAGGAAAGUCCAAAUCUUCUUCUGUUUUGGAUUUUUGACGUUUUUUCUUCUUUGCUUCCAAAUACUUUUUCUUGCGCUCCCGCCUUUUCUCACUGAAUUUUGUCUUCUCCAUUGAUGUGUCAAACCGAAGAUCAAUGACUUGCAUUCUCUUUCUCUUUCCCUUUCUCUUUUUCUCAUUGCUGUUCUGCACAGUCUCAUCACUAUCAUCUGAAUGUUGGGUUGUCAAGAGAUUCUCAUCUUCACCUUCAUCCACAAUAGCUUCUGAGGUAAUUGCAUUCUCUGGAGGGAGUUUCUUUUCAGCGUCACCGCCUCCCCGCUUCCUCUUCUCUUCAGUAGACUUGGAAGGUUUAGCAGAACCAUCAAGAAGAUG
rnacentral:lncRNA from 1 species